rnacentral:rRNA from 1 species
GACGAACGCUGGCGGCGUGCUUAACACAUGCAAGUCGAACGGAAAGGCCCUGCUUGCAGGGUACUCGAGUGGCGAACGGGUGAGUAACACGUGGGUGAGCUGCCCUGCACUUCGGGAUAAGCUUGGGAAACUGGGUCUAAUACCGGAUAGGAGCCAUCUUUAGUGUGGUGGUUGGAAAGUUUUUUCGGUGUAGGAUGAGCUCGCGGCCUAUCAGCUUGUUGGUGGGGUAAUGGCCUACCAAGGCGGCGACGGGUAGCCGGCCUGAGAGGGUGUACGGCCACAGUGGGACGGAGAGACGGGCCAGACUCCUACGGGAGGCAGAAGGGGGGAAUAUUGCACAAUGGGCGCAAGCCUGAGGCAGCGACGCCGCGGGGGGGAUGAAGGCCUUCGGGUUGUAAACUCCUGUCGCUAGGGACGAAGCUUUGUUGUGACGGUACCUAGAUAAGAAGCACCGGCUAACUACGUG